rnacentral:tRNA from 1 species
GGGGGUAUAGCUCAGUGGUAGAGCAUUUGAUUGCAGAUCAAGAGGGCCCAGGUUCAACUCCUGGUGCUCCCU